UAUUUAUAUUCUUUCCAAUAUUUUUGUUUCUAUAAAAGAAAGGGAAUAAAGUAAGACGUUUGGAAGCGUUCGAUCCUGCAGGAUCCACGAGGCAAGGCGGUGGUCCGUCGAGGAGUAUCAGCUGUUCGAAUUAUUAUCGUUGCAGGCGACGGCAGAUGUUCACUAGGCUAAAACGCUCCCCCGAAGGCUUUGAACCCGCUGAUCUCUUUUCUUUAGAGCGAGUGAAAAACUUUCAAGGAAGCCCAACGUCUCGUCCAAUCUCGCACAAUGCCUCGUUUCCACAAGCGAGUAGGAAACUAACCUAAAAACUGGAAAACAAUGAGAACGGUUUAUUUUCGUUUUCGUUGCAUCGAAGUAAAUCGAUUAUCACUUCGAACGUACGUAAGAUAUUCGCAUAGAAGACGAGCAUAGAUACUUUUUUAACGAUCUCGCUGACAAUCGUGGUGGAAGAUA